ACGGGAGGCAGCAGUGGGGAAUAUUGGGCAAUGGGCGAAAGCCUGACCCAGCAACGCCGCGUGAAGGAAGAAGGCCUUCGGGUUGUAAACUUCUUUUACCAGGGACGAAGGACGUGACGGUACCUGGAGAAAAAGCAACGGCUAACUACGUGCCAGCAGCCGCGGUAAUACGUAGGUUGCAAGCGUUGUCCGGAUUUAUUGGGUUUAAAGGGUGCGUAGGCGGCAUCUCAAGUCUGUGGUGAAAUGUCAGGGCUCAACCUUGGCACUGCCAUGGAAACUGGGGGGCUAGAGUGCGUUUGGGGUGCAUGGAAUGUGUGGUGUAGCGGUGAAAUGCAUAGAUAUCACACAGAACGCCGAUCGCGAAGGCAGUGCACCAAGCCGCGACUGACGCUGAGGCACGAAAGUGCGGGGAUCGAACAGGAUUAGAUACCCUGGUA
rnacentral:rRNA from 1 species